UUUCGGUCCCCCCGCGGCGUAGCGCCGUGAACCCCGUCAGGCCCGGAAGGGAGCAGCGGUAACGGUAUCUGCGGGUGCCGGGGUGUGGCUGAUACGG
rnacentral:SRP_RNA from 1 species